GUACACGCUGUGACUAGCAUAUCAAUAAGCGGAGGAAAAGAAACUAACAAGGAUUCCCCUAGUAACGGCGAGUGAAGCGGGAAGAGCUCAAAUUUGAAAUCUUAAAGGGUUUCCCUUUACGAAUUGUAGUUUAAAGAAGUGUUUUCUGUUGAGGUUUUGGUAAAAGUUCUUUGGAAUAGGACAUCAUAGAGGGUGAGAAUCCCGUAUUUGACCUUUACUUUCAACUUUGUGAUACACUUUCAAAGAGUCGGAUUGUUUGGGAAUGCAGUCCAAAAUGGGUGGUAAAUUUCAUCUAAAGCUAAAUAUUGGCGAGAGACCGAUAGCGAACAAGUACCGUGAGGGAAAGAUGAAAAGAACUUUGAAAAGAGAGUUAAACAGUACGUGAAAUUGUCAAAAGGGAAGCGUUUGACACCAGUGUUGUUUUUCUGAAAAUCAAUUAAAGAACUGUUUAUGCUAAGCUGUUUAGACUUUAUCAGCUAAUCUGUUUAGUUUUGAGCUUUCUCUUUAAUGCACUUUUCAGUUAACAAGUCAACAUCAAUUUCUUUUGCUGUAAAAAAGCUUGAGGAAGGUGGCUUGAGAUUCGUCUUAAGUGUUUAUAGCCUCUUGCCUAUGCAGUCGGAGAGAUUGAGGUCUGCAGCGUAGAUCCUUCGGGGCUAAAUGCAUUUGUGCUAAGUUAUAGCAUUUUAUAGACAACUUGUUGACUAUGAUUUGUCUUGUAGCUUACUCGCUUAUGUUAUUUUACCUACGCUUAGGAUGUUGACGAGACUGUCGAUCUCAUCUAUACAUGGCUCCGUGCAUAUCAAUAAGCGGAGGAAAAGUCAACUACCUACGCUUAGGAUGUUGAAUCUGUGCGAGACUAC
rnacentral:rRNA from 1 species